rnacentral:rRNA from 1 species
GACGAACGCUGGCGGCAUGCCUAAUACAUGCAAGUCGAGCGAACAGAUGAAGUGCUUGCACUUCUGACGUUAGCGGCGAACGGGUGAGUAACACGUAAGGAAUCUACCUAUAAGCGGGGGAUAACAUUCGGAAACGGGUGCUAAUACCGCAUAAUAUCUUCUUCCGCAUGGAAGAAGAUUGAAAGACGGCUCUGCUGUCACUUAUAGAUGACCUUGCGGUGCAUUAGUUAGUUGGUGGGGUAAUGGCCUACCAAGACGAUGAUGCAUAGCCGACCUGGGAGGGUGAUCGGCCACAUUGUGACCGAGACACGGCCCAAACUCCGACGGGAGGCAGCAGUAGGGAAUCUUCCGCAAUGGGCGAAGGCCUGACGGAGCAAUGCCGCGUGAGUGAAGAAGGCCUUCGGGUCGUAAAACUCUGUUAUAAGAGAAGAACAAAUUGUAGAGUAACUGCUACAGUCUUGACGGUAUCUUAUCAGAAAGCCACGGCUAACUACGUGCCAGCCGCCGCCGUAA